AGCCAGGGAAUUACGAGCGCAAGCUUAAAACCCAAAGGAUUUGACGGUGUCCCACCCACCUAGAGGAGCCUGUUCUAUAAUCGAUGAUCCUCGAUAUACCUCACCAUUUUUUGCUUUUUCAGCCUGUAUACCUCCGUCGCAAAUCUACCACCUGAGUGUCCCAAAGUAAAUUCAACUGGGCCCCAAUACGCCAAUACGUCAGGUCAAGGUGCAGCCCAUAAAAUGGGAAGCAAUGGGCUACAAUUUCUAAAAUAGAACAAACAUAAAACUACAUGAAACAUAGUCAUAAAGGCGGAUUUAGCAGUAAAAGAAGAAUAGCAAGCUUCUUUUAACAGGGCCCUGGGACGUGUACAAACCGCCCGUCACCCUCUUCAACAGCACCCACCUAGCUAUAUAACAUCUUCUUAGCACCCUAGAAGAGGCAAGUCGUAACAUGGUAAGUGUACUGGAAAGUGCACUUGGAAA
rnacentral:rRNA from 1 species